AGGAUGAACGCUGGCGGUGUGCCUAAUACAUGCAAGUCGAACGGGAUCUUCGGAUCUAGUGGCGAACGGGUGAGUAACACGUUGGUACCUACCCCGAAGUGGGGAAUAACUGCCCGAAAGGGUGGCUAAUACCGCAUAAUACCGCAAGGUUAAAGCAGUAAUGCGCUUCGGGAGGGGCCUGCGUCCCAUUAGCUAGUUGGUAGGGUAAUGGCCUACCAAGGCGACGAUGGGUAGCUGGAUCGAGAGGUUGACCAGCCACACUGGGACUGAGAUACGGCCCAGACUCCUACGGGAGGCAGCAGUAAGGAAUCUUCCACAAUGGACGAAAGUCUGAUGGAGCAACACCGCGUGCAGGAUGACGGCCUUCGGGUUGUAAACUGCCUUUAUAUGGGAAGAUUAUGACGGUACCAUAUGAAUAAGGACCGGCUAACUACGCGCCAGCAGCCGC
rnacentral:rRNA from 1 species